CCUACGGGAGGCAGCAGUGAGGAAUAUUGGUCAAUGGACGAGAGUCUGAACCAGCCAAGUAGCGUGAAGGAUGACUGCCCUAUGGGUUGUAAACUUCUUUUAUAUGGGAAUAAAAUGUUCCACGUGUGGGAUUUUGUAUGUACCAUAUGAAUAAGGAUCGGCUAACUCCGUGCCAGCAGCCGCGGUAAUACGGAGGAUCCGAGCGUUAUCCGGAUUUAUUGGGUUUAAAGGGAGCGUAGGUGGAUUGUUAAGUCAGUUGUGAAAGUUUGCGGCUCAACCGUAAAAUUGCAGUUGAAACUGGCAGUCUUGAGUACAGUAGAGGUGGGCGGAAUUCGUGGUGUAGCGGUGAAAUGCUUAGAUAUCACGAAGAACUCCGAUUGCGAAGGCAGUUCACUGGACUGCAACUGACACUGAGGCUCGAAAGUGUGGGUAUCAAACAGGAUUAGAUACCCCAGUAGGUC
rnacentral:rRNA from 1 species